AUGUCUGUGUGUGUAUGUGUCAGUAUGUCUGUGUGUGUGUGUAUGUCAGUAUGUCUGUCAUAGACACACACAGACAUACUGACACAGACAUACUA